UCACUGCUACCUGACGCUGUUUACAGAUAAUUCUGUGAUAACAUCUAAAUCUUCACCACAGCAUACAGCUCCAAAAGCGGAGACUGUGUCGGUUCCUAAGACAGCGACUCGCACUGCAGACCGAGCCCAUUCCAAAUCUCACCUGAAAAUCCGGGCGUGUUUUGAUGCGUGCUGGCCACAUGGAAACCAGUGGGUGUGCUCUGGCCAGCUGCACCCAGGGAGUUUGGAUUCAAGGCUCCCCAGAAAGGAUCCUUGAGACCAGUUCUCCCACUGUGUUCUGACGGAGAGCCAAAUGCCCCAGUGGUCGAGAUGCUGUGGGGGGCAGCCACGCUUGUCCCAAAUCCCCCACUGCCAGUGGGGCCUGCUGACACCCUGAAUGUGAAGGGCACUGGGAUGGUCCUGCCAAACCCUGAAGUACUGGUCCCACAGGUGGUGGUCUGGGUCACUGCUCCAAAGCCGGAGGUGAUGGCUGCAGAAAAGGAGGAAACAUGGAUCACUGUCUAACCCCAUACACAAAAGUAAAUUCGAAAUUGAUCGAACCCCUGAAUGGAAGCCAUGAAACCAUAAAACUCUUAGAGAAAGACAGGCGAAAAUAUGUUGUACACAAACAUGAGCGACUUCUUCUUGAACAUAUCUCUCCAGGGAAAGGACAGAAAAGGAAAAAUAAACAAAUGGGAGCAGCCCAGUUUGAAAAAGACAGAUGCACCCCUAUAUUUAUCGCAGCAUUACUUACAACCGCUAAGAAACUGAAGCAACCUAAGUGUCCAUAAGUAUAUGAAUGGAUAAAGAAGAGGUGGUACAUAUACACAAUGGAAUAUUAUUCACCCAUAAGAAGUAAACAAAUGCUACCAUUUGCAACAACAUGGAUGUGCUAGAGGGUAUUCUGCUCAGUGAAAUAAGCCAGGCAGAGAAAGAAAAAUACCAAAUGAUUUUACUCAUAGGUGGAGUAUAAGAACAAAGAAAAACUGAAGGAACAAAACAGCACCGGAAUCACAGAACCCAAGAAUGGACUAACAGUUACCAAAGGGAAAGGGACUGGGGAAGAUGGUAGGGAUGGGAGGUGUAAGGGUCUGGAAAAAGAAUAGCACAUAUAAUGUAGGGGGGUGGCCAUGGGGACGUCUGUGCAACACAGAGAAGACAAGUAGUGAUUCUACAACAUCUUACUAUGAUGAUGGAUAGUGACUGUAAUGGGGUGUGUGGCGUGGACUUGGUGAAAGGGGGAGCCUAGUGAACAUAAUGUUCCUCAUGUAAUUGUAAAUUAAUGAUAACAAAAUUUUUUAAAAAAUAAAAGAAACAUACAGAUCUUCAUUUUGUUCAAUAAAUUAGAAAUUGUUAAUACAUAAAAAAAAAAAAAAUGAGCAGAGUAGUUGAACAGUUCUCCAAAGAAGAAAUUGCUCCACAUCGUUAGUCAUCAGAGAAAUACAAAUUAAAACCACAAUGAGAUAUCCCUUCACACUAGGAAGGAUCGCCACCAUCCAAAAGACAAACAACAACCAAUGUUGGCCAGGUUGUGGAGAAAGGGGAACCCUCCUAAACUGUUGGUAGGAAUGCAAAUUAGUUCAACCAUUGUGGAAAGCAGUAUGGAGCUUCCUUAAAAAGGUCAAAAUAGAAAUCCCAUUUGACCCAGGAAUCCCACUUGUAGGAAUUUACCCUAAGGGAAGCAGCAGCCCGUUUUGAAAAAGGCAGAUGCACCCCUAUGUUUAUCUCAGCACUAUUUACAAUAGCCAAGAAAUGGAAGCAACCUAAAUGUCCAUCAGUAGAUGAAUGGAUAAAGAAGAUGAGGUACAUAUACACAAUGGAAUAUUAUUCAGCCAAAAGAAGAAAACAAAUCCUACCAUUUGCAACAACAGGGAUGAAGCUGGAGGGUAUUAUGCUCAGUGAAAUAAGCCAGGUGGAGAAAGGCAAGUACCAAAUGAUUUCACUCAUAUGUGGAGUAUAAGAGCAAAGAAAAACUGAAGGAACAAAACAGCAGCAGAAUCACAGAACCCAAGAAUGGACUACCUAUUGAAAUGGACUAAAGGGAAAGGGACUGAGCAGGAUGGGUGUGAAGGGAGGGAUAAAGGCAGGAAAAAGAAAGGGGGCAUUACAAAUUGCAUAUAUAAUGUGGGCGGGGGGCAAAGGAGGGCUGGGCCACACAGAGAAGACAAGUGGUAAUUCUACAGCAUCUUACUACACUGAUGGACAGUGACUAUAAUAGGGUUCGUGGGGGGACUUGUUGAAGGGGGAAGCCUAGUAAACAUAAUGUUCUUCAUGUGAUUGUAGAUUAAUACCAAAAAAUAAAACAUUUUAAAAGGCCGUGAAUGAUCUUCCUUACUGCCUGUCUCUUAACGUCAUUUUAUCCCACUUUCCUUUUUAAACCUCUAGCCACACCUGACUCUUCUCUGCUCAUGAAAACAUAAGCUCAUCUCUGACUUCGGGCCUUUGCUCCUGUGCCUGGAAUGCCCCCAACCCCAGCCGCUGUCCCUGCUCCCAACUCUGGAACCGCGGCCAUGGCCUCCGUUUACUAUUGUCUCAGAAAGGCUCCCACUCCCUACCUACAUAGCUCCUCCGGACAUGAGUUACACUGCUACCUGACGCUGUUUACCGAUAACAUCUGUCUCUUCACUACAGCGUAGAGUUCCAAGAGUGUAGACUAUGUUGGUACUUAAAACAGCACCUUGGCUCUGCAGACCGAGCCCAUUCCAAAUCUCACCUGCAAGCACAGAUGUGUUCGUAGGUGUGCUGGCCACAUAGAUGGCAAAUAGUGUGCUCUGGCCAGCUGCACCAAGGGAGUUCUGACUCAGGCAUCCCCAGAAAGGGGCCGUGCCACCAGUUCUCCCACUCCAUCCUGCCACAAAGUUGAAUACCCCAGGGGUGGAGCUGCUGUGGGGGGCUGACACGCUCAUCCCAAAGUCCCCAGUGCCAGCGGGGCCUGCUGACACCCCGGAUGUGACAUGGGAUGAGGGUGUGCUGCCACCGCUGAUGGUGGUCUGGGUCGUAGAUUCAAAGUCCGAGGUGGUGGCUGCAAAAGAGAAGGAAAUGAGGAUCACUGUCUAACCCUAUACACAAAAGUAUAUUCGAAAUGGAUCAAAGACCUGAAUGUAAGCCAUGAAACCAUAAUACUCUUAGAAAAAACAUAAGCAAAAGUCUCUUGGACAUAAACAUGAGUGACUUCUUCAUGAACAUAUCUCCCCCAGCAAGUGAAACAAAAGCAAAAAUGAACAUAUAGGACUAUAUCGUGCUGAAAAGCUUCUGUACAGGGAAGGACACCAUCAAUAGAACAAAAAGGCAUCCUACAGUAUGGGAGAAUAUAUUCAUAAAUGACAGAUCUAAUAAAGGGUUGACAUCAACAAUGUAUAAAGAGCUCACACACCUCAACAAACAAAAAGCAAAUAAUCCAAUUAAAAAAUGGGCAGAGGAGCUGAACAGACAGUUCUCCAAAGAAGAAAUUCAGAUGGCCAACAGACACAUGAAAAGAUGCUCCACAUCGCUAGUCAUCAGAGAAUUGCAAAUUAAAACCGCAAUGAGAUAUCACCUCACACCAGUAAGGACUGCCACCAUCAAAAAGACAAACAACAAAAAAUGCUGGCUAGGAUGCAGAGAAAGAGGAACCCUCCUCCCCUGCUGGUGGGAAUGUAACUUAGUUCAAUCACUGUGGAAAGCAGCAUGGAGGUUCCUCAAAAAAUUCAAAAUAGAACUACCAUUUGACCCAGGAAUACCACCUCUAGGAAUUUACCCUAAGAAUGCAGCAGCCCAAUUUUAAAAA